rnacentral:rRNA from 1 species
CAGCCGCCGCGGGAAUACGGAGGAUCCAAGCGUUAUCCGGAAUCAUUGGGUUUAAAGGGUCCGUAGGCGGUCUUGUAAGUCAGUGGUGAAAGCCCAUCGCUCAACGGUGGAACGGCCAUUGAUACUGCAGGACUUGAAUUAUUGGGAAGUAACUAGAAUAUGUAGUGUAGCGGUGAAAUGCUUAGAGAUUACAUGGAAUACCAAUUGCGAAGGCAGGUUACUACCAAUUGAUUGACGCUGAUGGACGAAAGCGUGGGUAGCGAACAGGAUUAGAUACCCCAGUAGUCCCUGUCUCUUAUAC